AACGGGGUGCUUUUUUUAAGCUGAGAAAAACUCGUGGAACCUGAUCCAGCUAAUACUGGCGUAGGGAUUUGA
rnacentral:ncRNA from 1 species